GUGUUGGAGCUCAGUGGUAGAAUGCUCACUUAGCAUGCAUGAGGCACUGGGUUCAAUCCUCAGCACCACA
rnacentral:tRNA from 1 species